UACGUAGGGGGCGAGCGUUGUCCGGAAUCAUUGGGCGUAAAGCGCGUGUAGGCGGCUCGGUAAGUUUGCUGUGAAAGUCCAGGGCUCAACCCUGGGAUGCCGGUGGAUACUGUCGAGCUCGAGUCCGGAAGAGGCGAGUGGAAUUCCUGGUGUAGCGGUGGAAUGCGCAGAUAUCAGGAGGAACACCAACGGCGAAGGCAGCUCGCUGGGACGGUACUGACACUGAGGCGCGAAAGCGUGGGGAGCGAACAGG
rnacentral:rRNA from 1 species